ACGGAAGGCAGCAGUGGGGAAUAUUGGGCAAUGGGCGAAAGCCUGACCCAGCAACGCCGCGUGAAGGAAGAAGGUCUUCGGAUUGUAAACUUUUGUCUUAUGGGACGAUAAUGACGGUACCAUAGGAGGAAGCCACGACUAACUACGUGCCAGCAGUCGCGGUAAUACGUAGGUGGCGAGCGUUAUCCGGAAUUAUUGGGUGUAAAGGGUGCGUAGGCGGGAUGUAAAGUCAGAUGUGAAAUGCAAAGGCUCAACCUUUGAACUGCAUUUGAAACUUACAUUCUUGAGUGGAGUAGAGGCAAGCGGAAUUCCCGGUGUAGCGGUGAAAUGCAUAGAUAUCGGGAGGAACACCGGUGGCGAAGGCGGCUUGCUGGGCUUUUACUGACGCUGAGGCACGAAAGUGUGGGGAGCAAACAGGAUUAGAUACCCUGGUA
rnacentral:rRNA from 1 species